UGGGGAAUAUUGCACAAUGGGCGCAAGCCUGAUGCAGCCAUGCCGCGUGUAUGAAGAAGGCCAUCGGGUUGUAAAGUACUUUCAGCGGGGAGGAAGGGAGUAAAGUUAAUACCUUUGCUCAUUGACGUUACCCGCAGAAGAAGCACCGGCUAACUCCGUGCCAGCAGCCGCGGUAAUACGGAGGGUGCAAGCGUUAAUCGGAAUUACUGGGCGUAAAGCGCACGCAGGCGGUUUGUUAAGUCAGAUGUGAAAUCCUCGGGCUCAACCUGGGAACUGCAUCUGAUACUGGCAAGCUUGAGUCUCGUAGAGGGGGGUAGAAUUCCAGGUGUAGCGGUGAAAUGCGUAGAGAUCGGGAGGAAUACCGGUGGCGAAGGCGGCCCCCUGGACGAAGACUGACGCUCAGGUGCGAAAGCGUGGGGAGCAAACAGG
rnacentral:rRNA from 1 species